rnacentral:rRNA from 2 species
UACGUAGGUGGCAAGCGUUGUCCGGAUUUAUUGGGUUUAAAGGGUGCGUAGGCGGUUGAUUAAGUCAGUGGUGAAAUACGUCAGCUUAACUGGCGAGGUGCCAUUGAUACUGGUGAACUUGAGUACUGAUGAGGUAAGCGGAAUGGACGGUGUAGCGGUGAAAUGCUUAGAUAUCGUCCAGAACACCGAUAGCGAAGGCAGCUUACUAAGGAGUAACUGACGCUGAGGCACGAAAGUGUGGGGAUCAAACAGG